rnacentral:rRNA from 1 species
UACAUGGGGUGCAAACGUUGCUCGGAAUUAUUGGGCGUAAAGCGCGCGUAGGCGGUUACUUAAGUCGGAUGUGAAAGCCCUCGGCUUAACUGAGGAAGUGCACCCGAAACUGAGUAGCUAGAGUACGAAAGAGGGUCGCGGAAUUCCCGGUGUAGAGGUGAAAUUCGCAGAUAUCAGGAGGAACACCAAUGGCGAAGGCAGCACUCUGGGACGUGACUGACGCUGAGACGCGAAAGCGUGGGGAGCAAACAGG